UACGUAGGGGGCAAGCGUUGUCCGGAUUUAUUGGGCGUAAAGCGCACGUAGGCGGACUAUUAAGUCAGGGGUGAAAUCCCGGGGCUCAACCCCGGAACUGCCUUUGAUACUGGUAGUCUCGAGUCCGGAAGAGGUGAGUGGAAUUCCGAGUGUAGAGGUGAAAUUCGUAGAUAUUCGGAGGAACACCAGUGGCGAAGGCGGCUCACUGGUCCGGUACUGACGCUGAGGUGCGAAAGCGUGGGGAGCAAACAGG
rnacentral:rRNA from 1 species